rnacentral:rRNA from 1 species
GUACGGGAGGCAGCAGUGGGGAAUAUUGCACAAUGGGCGAAAGCCUGAUGCAGCAACGCCGCGUGAGCGAUGAAGGCCUUCGGGUCGUAAAGCUCUGUCCUCAAGGAAGAUAAUGACGGUACUUGAGGAGGAAGCCCCGGCUAACUACGUGCCAGCAGCCGCGGUAAUACGUAGGGGGCUAGCGUUAUCCGGAUUUACUGGGCGUAAAGGGUGCGUAGGUGGUUUCUUAAGUCAGGAGUGAAAGGCUACGGCUCAACCGUAGUAAGCUCUUGAAACUGGGAAACUUGAGUGCAGGAGAGGAAAGUGGAAUUCCUAGUGUAGCGGUGAAAUGCGUAGAUAUUAGGAGGAACACCAGUAGCGAAGGCGGCUUUCUGGACUGUAACUGACACUGAGGCACGAAAGCGUGGGGAGCAAACAGGAUUAGAUACCCUGGUAGU